rnacentral:rRNA from 1 species
GAUGAACGCUGGCGGCGUGCUUAACACAUGCAAGUCGAACGGUGAAGGCGGAGCUUGCUCUGCUGGAUCAGUGGCGAACGGGUGAGUAACACGUGAGCGAUCUGCCCCUGACUCUGGGAUAAGCGCUGGAAACGGCGUCUAAUACUGGAUACGAGCUGCGAAGGCAUCUUCAGCAGCUGGAAAGAAUUUCGGUCAGGGAUGAGCUCGCGGCCUAUCAGCUUGUUGGUGAGGUAAUGGCUCACCAAGGCGUCGACGGGUAGCCGGCCUGAGAGGGUGACCGGCCACACUGGGACUGAGAAACGGCCCAGACUCCUACGGGAGGCAGCAGUGGGGAAUAUUGCACAAUGGGCGAAAGCCUGAUGCAGCAACGCCGCGUGAGGGACGACGGCCUUCGGGUUGUAAACCUCUUUUAGCAGGGAAGAAGCGAAAGUGACGGUACCUGCAGAAAAAGCGCCGGCUAACUACGUG